AGAGUUUGAUCCUGGCUCAGGAUGAACGCUAGCUACAGGCUUAACACAUGCAAGUCGAGGGGCAGCAUGGUCUUAGCUUGCUAAGGCCGAUGGCGACCGGCGCACGGGUGAGUAACACGUAUCCAACCUGCCGUCUACUCUUGGACAGCCUUCUGAAAGGAAGAUUAAUACAAGAUGGCAUCAUGAGUCCGCAUGUUCACAUGAUUAAAGGUAUUCCGGUAGACGAUGGGGAUGCGUUCCAUUAGAUAGUAGGCGGGGUAACGGCCCACCUAGUCUUCGAUGGAUAGGGGUUCUGAGAGGAAGGUCCCCCACAUUGGAACUGAGACACGGUCCAAACUCCUACGGGAGGCAGCAGUGAGGAAUAUUGGUCAAUGGGCGAGAGCCUGAACCAGCCAAGUAGCGUGAAGGAUGACUGCCCUAUGGGUUGUAAACUUCUUUUAUAAAGGAAUAAAGUCGGGUAUGCAUACCCGUUUGCAUGUACUUUAUGAAUAAGGAUCGGCUAACUCCGUGCCAGCAGCCGCGGUAAUACGGAGGAUCCGAGCGUUAUCCGGAUUUAUUGGGUUUAAAGGGAGCGUAGAUGGAUGUUUAAGUCAGUUGUGAAAGUUUGCGGCUCAACCGUAAAAUUGCAGUUGAUACUGGAUAUCUUGAGUGCAGUUGAGGCAGGCGGAAUUCGUGGUGUAGCGGUGAAAUGCUUAGAUAUCACGAAGAACUCCGAUUGCGAAGGCAGCCUGCUAAGCUGCGACUGACAUUGAGGCUCGAAAGUGUGGGUAUCAAACAGGAUUAGAUACCCUGGUAGUCCACACGGUAAACGAUGAAUACUCGCUGUUUGCGAUAUACAGCAAGCGGCCAAGCGAAAGCGUUAAGUAUUCCACCUGGGGAGUACGCCGGCAACGGUGAAACUCAAAGGAAUUGACGGGGGCCCGCACAAGCGGAGGAACAUGUGGUUUAAUUCGAUGAUACGCGAGGAACCUUACCCGGGCUUAAAUUGCAGAUGAAUUACGGUGAAAGCCGUAAGCCGCAAGGCAUCUGUGAAGGUGCUGCAUGGUUGUCGUCAGCUCGUGCCGUGAGGUGUCGGCUUAAGUGCCAUAACGAGCGCAACCCUUGUUGUCAGUUACUAACAGGUCAUGCUGAGGACUCUGACAAGACUGCCAUCGUAAGAUGUGAGGAAGGUGGGGAUGACGUCAAAUCAGCACGGCCCUUACGUCCGGGGCUACACACGUGUUACAAUGGGGGGUACAGAGGGCCGCUACCACGCGAGUGGAUGCCAAUCCCAAAAACCUCUCUCAGUUCGGACUGGAGUCUGCAACCCGACUCCACGAAGCUGGAUUCGCUAGUAAUCGCGCAUCAGCCACGGCGCGGUGAAUACGUUCCCGGGCCUUGUACACACCGCCCGUCAAGCCAUGGGAGCCGGGGGUACCUGAAGUGCGUAACCGCGAGGAGCGCCCUAGGGUAAAACUGGUGACUGGGGCUAAGUCGUAACAAGGUA
rnacentral:rRNA from 1 species